UCUGGAAACUNUCUGACUUGAGUGCAGAAGGGGAGAGUGGAAUUCCAUGUGUAGCGGUGAAAUGCGUAGAUAUAUGGAGGAACACCAGUGGCGAAAGCGGCUCUCUGGUCUGUCACUGACGCUGAGGCUNGAAAGCGUGGGUAGCGAACAGGAUUAGAUACCCUGGUAGUCCACGCCGUAAACGAUGAGUGCUAGGUGUUAGGCCCUUUCCGGGGCUUAGUGCCGGAGCUAACGCAAUAAGCACUCCGCCUGGGGAGUACGACCGCAAGGUUGAAACUCAAAGGAAUUGACGGGGGCCCGCACAAGCGGUGGAGCAUGUGGUUUAAUUCGAAGCAACGCGAAGAACCUUACCAGGUCUUGACAUCCCGAUGCUAAUCUUAGAGAUAGGAAGUUACUUCGGUACAUCGGAGACAGGUGGUGCAUGGUUGUCGUCAGCUCGUGUCGUGAGAUGUUGGGUUAAGUCCCGCAACGAGCGCAACCCUUAUUGUUAGUUGCCAUCAUUAAGUUGGGCACUCUAGCGAGACUGCCGGUAAUAAACCGGAGGAAGGUGGGGAUGACGUCAAAUCAUCAUGCCCCUUAUGACCUGGGCUACACACGUGCUACAAUGGUCGGUACAACGAGUUGCGGGCCGGUGACGGCAAGCUAAUCUCUGAAAGCCGAUCUCAGUUCGGAUUGGAGGCUGCAACUCGCCUCCAUGAAGGCGGAAUCGCUAGUAAUCGCGGAUCAGCACGCCGCGGUGAAUACGUUCCCGGGCCUUGUACACACCGCCCGUCACACCACGAGAGUUUGUAACACCCGAAGU
rnacentral:rRNA from 1 species